rnacentral:rRNA from 1 species
GCAAGUCGAACGCCCCGCAAGGGGAGUGGCAGACGGGUGAGUAACACGUGGGAACAUGCCCAAAGGUACGGAAUAUUCUCGGGAAACUGGGAGCAAUACCGUAUGUGCCCGAAAGGGGAAAGAUUUAUCGCCUUUGGAUUGGCCCGCGUUGGAUUAGCUAGUUGGUGGGGUAAAAGCCUACCAAGGCGACGAUCCAUAGCUGGUCUGAGAGGACGACCAGCCACACUGGGACUGAGACACGGCCCAGACUCCUACGGGAGGCAGCAGUGGGGAAUCUUGGACAAUGGGCGCAAGCCUGAUCCAGCCAUGCCGCGUGAGUGAUGAAGGCCCUAGGGUUGUAAAACUCUUUCGUGGGGGACGAUAAGACGGUACCCCAAGAAGAAGUCCGGCUAA